rnacentral:snRNA from 1 species
GGGAGUGAGUGCGGUCUGGCUGCUACACCUAUCAAUCACCUCAUUGAUUGCCAAGGUUGAUUCUGGUGAGUGGCUGGCUGGCUGGGUGUCCCCUUCCUCUCUCACUGCUCCAUGUGAUUCUUUCCUAAAACGGCACAUGGUUGAAGAGGACCGGUUUCCCUGCUGUAGUAUAUGAGUAGUUGCACUUCCCUGUCAGACCCUCCAACCAAGCUUUCUAGGCACCAACAUGUAGGGUACCCCCGUCACCUCCCAAUUUCCUGAACACUG